GAUCGUUGUGAAGUUGAGUUUUUGGGGUAGCAUAGAUUUAUAUCGUUGUAUUCCUUUUUGUUUGUGUUAACCAAUUGUCGUUCGGAAUUAUUUUUUAUACAUCAUUUAUUGAUCUUGCAAUUUCUUGUAAUUUAGUUUGCGUCUUAUUUCUUUGGUGUCAUAUUUUGGCUAUGUUUGUGUUCGAUCAUACAGUAUAAUAAGUCGGUAGUUGCCCGCGAAUGGAUUUUUUUUUAUUUCUUGUGACUCUUUGCGUCUUAUUUGUUGAUGCAGUUGGUUUUUGUUUUGUGUCAUGUGGAGAUAUGGUGUGAUUUUGUUUUUCUUUUGAUGUGUUUGCAUCUUAAAUUGGGAUUGCACUGAGUUAUUUCAUGAUUUCUUUUGUGCUAUAUUUUCGAUACAUUUUUAGUCUAUCUUAUAGCAUCUUACAAUUGUCCGACGACAUAAUGUGAUACUUUUUUUGUUCGCCAAUAUUAUUCAUACGAUUCAUACGAUUUGAAUUUACUAUUUAUAUCUUUUUUUCUUUUCUUAAUAGUUUACCUACAGUCGAAAAUUUGCAAGACAUUAAGAGUCUUUACUUAUUUAACAUUUAUUAGACUCAAUUAUUAUGUAUUUACUUGAAUAACCGUCCCACUGUUUAUUGUAUGUUAGUUCUUCACAAACACGAAACAGAUCAAGAAUAUCAAAGUUCCCUUAUAUAAUUUUUACCGUAUACGGUGGCUCACUCUAUUUUCUCAAAAUUUGAUUACAAUUCUACGAUCUGAAUUACUUUUUAUCUUUUUUCUUUUCUUAUAGUUUCCUACAGUCGAAAAUUUAGACAUUAUCUUUACUUAUUUUAUUUGUUGUUUGUUGUUUUUUUUGUUUUGUAUUUUAUUGUAAAUGUCGGCUGGUAUCAUUUCUGUAUAGGAAUUUACACCAAUAAAAUUAUUUGAUUUGAUUUGAUUUGAUUUGUACUAACAAUGCGUGUAUAUAUUACUCGAGUUUGAAACAUGCAACAAUACUCUACCAAAGCAAACCAGAAAACAAUCCAUCAACAAGGAAGAAAGUUAAUCAUAUAACUUCAAAGGGGGUAUGGUUUUCUUGUCUGAGCGCGAACCUUUCUUGUCCGCCUUCAUCAAUCAAUUUAUUUUUUCUUUAAAACUUAACACUAUACGGUUUUAGAAGAUCAAAAGUCAUAAUAUUUUUUUUGGUUUAAAAUUUUGCCUGACAACAAUAUUUUUUCAAAGAUUGGAUCAGACGAUAUCUUUUUUGAAUGAAUAUUACACCUCACUCUUUUUCACAAUUUGAAGUAAAAUUUUCGUUCCCGUAUGUAAAUAACCAGCACAAAGACUUUCAUUAUCUUUUUUUUUAUACAUUUGAAGACAUCGCACAGUUCAAACCAAUAUUCAGUGGCGGAUCCAGAAUUUCACAUUGGGGUAGGGGGAGCGGCGCUGACUGAACUAAGGGGAGCCCGCUCCAGUCAUGCUUCAGUGAUUCCCUAUGUUUAAUCAAACAUGUUUUUCCGAUCCUCUUUGUUCCAUGCCUCUGGUCGACAUGUGUACUUCAUAAUAAUUUUUGACUGUCAGAUGUAUAUAUAGCAGAACUUUCACAUGACUUCUUUCUUGAUAAAACCACUGUCUUUUUCCCUUUUCGACACUGCAAACAAAAAAUCGAACAGGCAAUUAAAGAGGGGGUUGCAACCACAUGUUCCCCGCACAAACGGAUCAGAACU
rnacentral:lncRNA from 1 species